UAGUUCUGCCAUGGACACGGUUGG
rnacentral:misc_RNA from 1 species